AGAACUGAGACCACUGCGCCCGGCCUGCUUAUCAGUUUAGAUUGGUCCUCUCCAUGGACCCUCUCCUCCUUCCAGACACUCUGGGCUCAGUCACCGAAGGGAGCAGCAGCAAGAAGAAUAUUUACCAGCAAGUACUGAAUCAACAUGUGCUACCAGCCAGCACUGACAUGUAUCUUUGUUGACUGCUUAAGGUAUUAUUAUCUCCAUUUUACAGAUAAGGAAACUGAGGUGGGUACAGGAAUCUGUCUAGAGUCAUAAACCUAGUGAGUAGCAGACCAGAAUUAGAACGCUCCGGAAUUAGAGUAUCUUGAUUCCAGAGUGGUAUGUAUAUGUGUAUGUGAAUAUAUGUAUAUGAAUGUGCAAUCAUA
rnacentral:sRNA from 1 species